CCACCAACAAGACCACCACCAACAAGACGACCACCACCACCAAGACCACCACCACCACCACCACCAACAACAAGACCACCACCACCACCACCACCAACAACAACAAGACCACCACUACCAACAAGACCACCACCAACAAGACCACCACCACCAACAACAACAACAAGACCACCACUACCAACAAGACCACCACCAACAAGACCACCACCAACAAGACCACCACCAACAAGACCACCACCACCAACAAGACCACCACCAACAACAAGACCACCACUACCAACAAGACCACCAACACCACCACCACCAACAAGACCACCACCACCAACAACAACAACAAGACCACCAACAACAACAACAACAACAACAACAACAACAACAACACCACCACCAACAACAACAACAUCUACUGCGGCUGCAGGAGAUUGUACAGGUUCUUGUGAUCUGGACUUGGUCAUGUUGGCUCUGCGUGUGGCUGAACUCCUCCUGAUUACUGUGAUCACUGUUCUUCUCUUCAGAGCUCGAGGGAACCAGAGACCACCUGAUGACAUCACUGUGUAUUAUGAUGGAGAUGAAGGCUCAGUGAACUAUGAAAAUGAUGGAGAACCUUCUGCUUCUGUCACACUCCACUGAUCAACAACUUCCACACAAACAUCCACUCAGCAGAUACAUUAAUCCACCGCUUUUAAUAAAUUCUAUAUUGUGCAGGUUUGCAGCAGGUAGAGAGAGAAACAGAGAGAGAGAGAUCAUCACUUGGGUAAAUCUUCAGUUUUUGCAAACAUGGCAGAAUGUUUUUUUUCUUAAUUUCUUCAUUUGUAUAAAGUUCUUCAUAUUUUUGAGUGCCUUUAAAUGUCAGUAUAACCAAAUUUUAAUCACUAUGUCAAAUUAACUUUCAUGUCUUAUUGUUGCUUCAAUAUAUUUGAUUGAAUGUGUAUAUUUUACUUAAAGGAGAUCUAUUAUCCUCACUUUCACCAUUAAUCCUGUCAGUCUGGGACACCUAUUGAGUAGUGUUGUGAGAUGUGUAACUCAUAAACCUUCUUAUUUUUCUCAUACUGUCAUCAUUGAAAUCCCAAAUUUCAGCCUCUGCCUGAAAUGGUUCAUUUUAGCUUCUGUCUCUUUAAGACCCCCCCCCCCCCCCCCCC